rnacentral:rRNA from 1 species
UACGGAGGGAGCUAGCGUUGUUCGGAAUUACUGGGCGUAAAGCGCGCGUAGGCGGCUUUGUAAGUUAGAGGUGAAAGCCCGGGGCUCAACCCCGGAACUGCCUUUAAAACUGCAUCGCUUGAAUCCGGGAGAGGUGAGUGGAAUUCCGAGUGUAGAGGUGAAAUUCGUAGAUAUUCGGAAGAACACCAGUGGCGAAGGCGACUCGCUGGACAAGUAUUGACGCUGAGGUGCGAAAGCGUGGGGAGCAAACAGG